rnacentral:misc_RNA from 1 species
AGACUUGUAAGAACAUCAAUAAGAGUACCAAGUCCACUCUUAAAUAGAUGGUGGCAUGUAAAUAUCAAUUUUUUAACAGUCCCAAAUAUCCUAACGGUCUAACUUUUUUUCCAAGUAUACAGUCGAUUUCCAACAGAAAUUGAUGCUAAAUACAUAUUUACAUGAACAGUUACUAUAAGUUUAUUGACAAAGGAGAGUCGUGGAAACUGGCCAACUUGAAGAAACAAAGCAAGUUGAAAUUUUGAGCAUUUAAGCAGCUUCAGCAAAUCCAACUCUCGUGUUUCCAUAGUCAAAUACAGUAUGGUAGGAACCCAUGAAAACAUCCCCCAAGAUCCAGAGCGGUCCCCGUGGAGGCGGCACGUCCAAAGCUGCAAAUCCACUGAUGCAUUCAGUUACAGGUCCCUCGGUGACUUUGAGCACGUACUGCUCAGGCUUGAGCUCAAAGACCUUUCCACCAAUAGUAAAUGAAAUAUUAGGCAAGGUAGACAAGGAAUCACAAUCAAUUACUGAUUCUCCCAUUGGACUAGGCAACUUCUCGCAGAGCCCAUCUAUAUAAUUGAGAAUCUGGUCUUGUGUUUUCUCAUCCUUCAGCUGGCUUUGUGCCCAUACAACUGCCAUCUCACAAGCAUUGCACAUAACAUCACGCAAACCAUUCGAAGAUUUCUGGGUGGUGUUAUCGACAACGCUCUCAAUGCCCAU